rnacentral:rRNA from 1 species
GACGAACGCUGGCGGCGUGCUUAACACAUGCAAGUCGAACGCUGAAGCUCAGCUUUUGUUGGGUGGAUGAGUGGCGAACGGGUGAGUAACACGUGAGUAACCUGCCCCCUUCUUUGGGAUAACGCCCGGAAACGGGUGCUAAUACUGGAUAUUCACUGGUCUUCGCAUGGGGGUUGGUGGAAAGGGUUUUUCUGGUGGGGGAUGGGCUCGCGGCCUAUCAGCUUGUUGGUGGGGUGAUGGCCUACCAAGGCUUUGACGGGUAGCCGGCCUGAGAGGGUGACCGGUCACAUUGGGACUGAGAUACGGCCCAGACUCCUACGGGAGGCAGCAGUGGGGAAUAUUGCACAAUGGGCGCAAGCCUGAUGCAGCGACGCCGCGUGAGGGAUGGAGGCCUUCGGGUUGUGAACCUCUUUCGCUCAAGGUCAAGCCGCAACAAUGGUUGUGGUGAGGGUAGUGGGUAAAGAAGCGCCGGCUAACUACGUG